rnacentral:rRNA from 1 species
GACGAACGCUGGCGGCGUGCUUAACACAUGCAAGUGGAGCGACGAACCCGAGCUUGCUCGGGGGCAAAGCCGCGAACGGGUGAGUAACACGUGGGUAAUCUGCCCUGUUGAUUGGGACAACCCCGGGAAACCGGGGCUAAUACCAAAUGUGCUCACAUCUACAUCAGUAGGAGUGAGGAAAGGAGGCUUCGGCUUCCGCAACGGGAUGAGCCCGCGGCCCAUUAGCUUGUUGGUGGGGUAAUGGCCUACCAAGGCUUCGAUGGGUAGCUGGUCUGAGAGGACGAUCAGCCACACUGGGACUGAGACACGGCCCAGACUCCUACGGGAGGCAGCAGUGGGGAAUCUUGCGCAAUGCGCGAAAGCGUGACGCAGCAACGCCGCGUGGGGGAAGACGGCCUUCGGGUUGUAAACCCCUUUCAGGAGGGACGAAGGUUCGCCGGUGAAUAGCCGUGCGGAUUGACGGUACCUCCAGAAGAAGCUCCGGCUAACUACGUGCCAGCAGCCGCCGUAAUAC